AGACCGGUAACGCCAAAUCCCGCCGCCGGUCGUCGGCAUUCGUCAGUCAGGCGGGAGCGGGGGACCCACCGUUCCUCGGCGCCCAGCGCGAGCCGCCAGGGCGCCUCGGGGUGAAGCCGCCACCCGCGGCCGGGCACCUCAGCCCGAACCCGACAGCUCACCUCGCCGGCGUGGAGGACGUAUCA
rnacentral:sRNA from 1 species